rnacentral:lncRNA from 1 species
GGCCUCCUUGACUUCUGAAAAGACCCAAUAUUUACCAGGGACUGUCUGCGUGGGGGCUUGUUUUCCAGUUGAAAUUAUUUCUAAAGGGGUGAAAAAGGCUUAUCCCCUCUACCGUGGGUCUCCAGGUGACUAUGGAAGACAGGAACAAGACUCUCCACAGGCCGGACGGCAGUAAUGUCCCUGGGCUGCCAGGGAGAGGGAGCCGAGGUGGAGAGUGUGAGAGGGCUUCGUGACCCACGCUGUGCUGUUGCGUUGGGGGGAUUGGCGGUACUGCCUGUUUAGGCCAUUUUGCCAUGGGAUAGAAGUUCCUCGCACGAGCUCCAAUACUGUCCACACCCCGUACCAUUCCUUCUACCCCGAGGCUGAUGCGAUUCCUCUACGAGAACCAGCAGACACAGAAGCCAGAGAAACCCACCAUUCCCUUAGGUGACUGCUCUGUCUUUCUGGGUUCAUUUGGGGAUAGUAGGGACGCCUUGAACAAGGGCCCCCUGAACAUCGCUUUGGGUGGGGACAGUCAUUGUUCCUUUUCAGGCUGUGUUUCUGCUGCAGCACACACACGGGGCAGCUUGCACGCCCAAUUUCCUGUCCCUCCUUUCCUUCUCAGGCUGAUGCCCAGACCAGUCCUUUCUGACCAUCAUCAAAUACCUCUUCAUCCUGAUUGAGUGGUGGUGCUGAGCAUUGUCCCCAAAGAGCCACUUGUGCUGUGGCCUUCUCCUGGAGGCAUAUUCUGUCCUCUUCUCUCUGCCUGCGGCCCCCAUCUCCUGAGCCCAGCGAGCUCAGUGCUAGUUCACUGUUUGCUCCUCCUUGCUGCAGACACAGAAGAUUUGGGAGCGUUCCUGCCGAG